CGCAACGCCAUGUAGACGCGCAACAAAUUUUAACUGCAGUCUGUUAGCAGCACGUAAAACAACUUUUAUUUAAGGCAGCGGCUAUUUGCACUAAGUGCAAAUAGCGCAUUUGCACUAAGUGCACUAAGUGCAAAUAGCAUAUUUUCCUAGCUGGAUGGAUGCUAUUUACACUAUGUUAAAAUAGCAAGAUUUUCUGCUAUUUAUACUACUUAUUGCAAAUAGUAUUGCAAUUAUCUGCACCUCAGUAUUAUAGUACAUUAUAAAACAUUACGCAAUAAUAAUGUAUUGAGUGUAAAUUAUAGUUUUAAUUCAAAUUAGGCUAUUAAAUGGAUAUGCCACCUUUUUGGGACAAUAAAGCCCUCCCUACACCUACCCUAACCCCUAAAUGCCAUUCCGAUGCGAGAAGGGAGAAAAAAGUAGAAAAAAGAAACGCGCCUUAAUCUACACCACUGAAACUGACGAGCAACGAGCGUCUUUUUGCAGUGUUGACUGUCCCAAUCACACGUUGGUGGGCGAAGUUAGUGUAAAUAGCCUUUGCAUAUUUGCACUUAAGCCCGGCUCACACUGUGCGAUUUUAGCCACGAUUUGGUCGUCUGGGACAAAUUUUGAAAAUCCUAAAAGAUAAUCCUAGGCUAAAAUCCGUAGUCUUUGAUCGUUAGUUUGACAUGUUCACGGACAGCCGAUUAAUGGCUGUUGCGAUCAAAUUUCACCUCCGACGAAAUUCUGGCAGUGUCAGAAGAUUUGGCACACAGUCCUUCAGUGUGACUACCCCUGCGACGAAUAUCAAACUGUCUCCGUUUUUCAAGGCAAGCUAUGAGCAGAAUUAAUGCUUGAGAAUUACUCUAUCAGCCACAAACUCCGGCGCUCCCGUCCUCCGCUCACGGAAUUCAUCUGAUAUGUUUCUUUUCUAUAUAACACUGGUUGCGCCGCUGUUUUCAUGUGCGUGUGUAUGAAUACAUACACUAUUCUUCUUAAACACGCCGGUAUUGCCGCGAUGCAAAAAGCCAAAGUUAGAAAAGUCAGCACAGAUACCCUCACUUCUAAUUUACCUGAAGAGCGAAGAGAACAGCUCUGUGGCCUGCUGGGGAAUGUGGAACUGUCUCUUCUCUACAAAGCUUCAGUUCAUGGAUAUCAAGCUUCUGUCUUCCACCAGAGAUGUGACCAUCAGGGUCCCACUUUACUUGUAGCCUACAACAGUUCAGGCUACAUCUUUGGUGGAUACACUAGUGUAGAUUAUGCUCGAAGUGGCCGGGAAAUUGCAGAUGAGGAAGCUUUACUGUUCAGUUUUAAAAGUGGAACCUGUAGCUACAUCAAAAUUAACAGUGGCUAUAAGGCACGUUAUGAUGAUGCUAAAGGGCCCAACUUUGGCCAACAGCUGUACUUUUGCUACAACAACCAACCAGCUGUGUAUCAUCAAGGAGGGAAUGCAUUCAACAUUAAUACCUCAUUAAUGUAUGGCAAUGACACUCAGCUGAAUGAAUGCGAGGUGUAUAAAGUGGAACAGGAGCCUGAAGUCAGCGUUGAGGAGAAACCAUGGAGGAAUGUUCUAUGGACACCUGAACGAAGAACAGAGCUCAUGGAAAUGAUCAGGAACCAUAAACCCUUGAUGCCGUCUGUGAGUCGAGUCCGGAUCCUAAUGAUCGGUCCUGUAGGUGCUGGAAAAUCCAGUUUCUUCAACUCCAUCAACUCCAUCUUCACUGGUCAUGUGACCAACAAAGCCAUGUCAGGAUCUGCAGGCACUAGUCUAACCGUACAGUUUCGCACAUAUCCAGUGAAUGAUGGUCGUGGAGGAAAGCCGUUGCCAUUUGUGUUGUGUGACACCAUGGGACUCGAGGAGCACUCAGGUGCAGGACUGGAUAUUGAGGACAUCAGCAGCAUUCUUCAAGGUCACGUACCAGACCGCUAUAAAUUCAACCCCAUGGCGCCGUUUCAACCUGACGAGCAAAAGGCCUCCAGACCUGCAUCUCUGCAGGAGAAGAUCCACUGUGUGGUGUACGUGAUAGACGCCACCAAAAUCUCCCUCAUGUCUGACAAACUACAGGAAAAACUUGCUUCCAUACGCAGAAAAGUGAACUCACUGGGCAUCGCUCAGAUGGUCUUGAUGACAAAAGUAGAUGAAGCAUGUCCUCUAGUGGAGGAAAAUCUUCAAAGCCUUUAUGUCAGCUCCUACAUCAAGUCAAAGGUUCAGGAGGUGAGCUCUCGGUUGGGUGUGCCGGUGUCUUGUGUGUUACCGGUGAAGAACUACAGUCAGGAGCUGGAGCUGGAGCUCAACUGUGACGUCCUGCUGCUCACCGCUCUACAGCAGAUGCUUCGCUUUGCAGACGACUAUUUUGAUGAUAUUCGUCCUGUGGAGGGCGACCCAUAAUAAUUUUUUUGGGGGCUCCUGUGACUUUUUGAGUCUUAUCUUACUAGUACUUGAGGUCUCUUACUAGUAUUAGUAAGAGGACUAAUAAAGUUUGACUAUUUUGUACAUUUGUUUUGGCAAUAAUGUCAACACAGUGAAAAUAUAAUCAAUAUUUGCUAAACAUAAAAUAAACAAAUGAAGAUCUGCUACCCACCUUAAUUUUAACAUAAUAGUGGGUGUGAUUUAUAAAUUGAUUGUGUGGUGAUAAGUGUCAUCCGUUUCCAGUUAUUUUAGCUGUACAAUAAUAUAGCCCAUAUAUAUCACAUUAAUUCUGUAUGCAUCAAAGUUAACAGUGGAUGUUAUGCACACUUUGAUGAUGCUGAAGGGCCCAACUUUGGCCAACAGAUGUGCUUUUGCUACAAAAAUCAACCACUUGUGCAAUCAGUAUGUAUGUAAUGUAUAUCAGUAUAAUGCAUUCAAUUUUAUUCCUGCAACACUAUAAGAAUGACACUCGGCUGAAUGAUUGUUAGUUGUACAAUGUGGAGCAAAGUAAGUCAAUCAUUAGAAAAAUAUACACUGUAAAAAAGUAUUUCGCAGUUUAGUUGUUUCAAUUAAUGUUUUUAAGUUGACUCAACUUUCAGUUCAUUAGUUUGUUCAUUCAACUUAAAUUUUUAAAUUUCACUGUCUCAACUAGUUCGUUAAGUUGACAAAACUAGCCAUUUGCCCCCUCAACUUAAAAAAAUGUGUUGAAUCAAUUUAAUAACGAUAUCACGUCCCUUAUCGCGAGAUCACGUGAAGACUUGCAGAAAGAAGACGUUGGUCAGCCAUCUUGAUGAGCUUCUCCACAGAGCUUGAAAAUGUUUUUAAACCAACACUUUUGGUAAGUAAAUAUUUGUAUUUAUUGGUUUAACACAAUUACGUAUGUUGUCUAAGAAUAGUGCAAGUAUGGUUUAAAGCAUCGCAUUUUGUAGUUAAAUGGAUACCAGCGUUAGUUUCGCGACACUCUAAUUCAGCCUCAAAAUACACGCGGUUCCACAGUAUUUUUCAUAUAAUUAUUAAACUAAAUAUUCUCCCAUGCUAUACUGAGCUGAACCUAUCUGGAGAAUAUACUGUUUGGUAUGUAUUAUUUGAGCCCAGUACUGCAUUAGAGACCGUUCAAACUGAGCGCGACGAACAACUGUGUGGAUUUAGAACGGCGGGAAUUUUAAAAAAUGACCUUAUGAACGAUUAAAAUUAGGGGAAAUAAACAAGAUUACUGCUCGAACUGUCAUUUUUCUGCACGUUGUAAGUGAAACGAACGAGCACCUCUCAGAGUUGGUUUGGAGAGCGUGCAUUUGUCUGAUAUAAUCUUUCAGAUGAGGUUCUAACGGUACAAACUCUUCUUUCAGUUAAAGUACAGAAGUGCCUCGCCGGAACCCAUGGCAACGCUGCGUGAAUAUACGGUCGGUUAAAAAAUUGAAGGUAUGAAAAGUAAUAAUGGCAUAUAUCUUGUAUAAAAAGCCCUGUGAUGAGGAUAAAUACAUAGUUUCCUGUGUUAUGUAAUUUAAAAGCCUUUUCUGGAUUGUAAAAUAUGGUUUUGGUAAUUGAAACGUAAACUAGCAAUGACAUUUGACUUUCUCUGUCAAGAUUAUUUGUAUUUAUAGUGUUGUUUUAACAUGUUUCUGUAUUUUCCAUGUUUAUGAUAUUCUGGAAUGACUAAAGAUCAGCACAGAGUUCUUGUGGAUGGACCUCAGCAAGUCCUUCUGCAGUUGUAUCCAUCAAAGUGCUAUGCAGACACAAUGGGAAUGACUGUCACAUUGUAGAGCUUGGACAAAUUCGCACAGGUUCUCAAGAGGAAUUCAUCAAGGACAAGUCUGUUGGCAUUAUAGUUGUUGGGUGACCAAAAUGAGCAUCAUCAAUCUGCAGUGAUGUGGUCCCAGUAAUAGAAGAAGAAAUCUUGUUUAUCUACAGUUGUAACACCCAUCUCAUGAAUUGAGGUGACAUGGGCAUCUUGAUUGUGACUGAGGAGGAGGAAUGGGAGGUGCUUCCAAAAUAAACCAAUGACGUUGCUAUCAUUUUGGAAGAGCGUCUUGUCGCCAUCGAUAUCUGUGACGUCCCGAAAGCAUUUGUGCUCCUGAUGGGUCAUCUUUACAUCAUUAACAAAACACAGUACAGUUCUGAUGUUCUCAAAACUUUGCACGAACAUUGGUGGGAGUAACUGUUCUUCACGUGUUUACG